GUGAGUGUUUGCCCGCAUGUGUGUCUGUGUCUGUGCAGAGACUGAGGAGGCCAGAAAGUCCCUUGGACCUAAGCCACAGAGUGGGUGCUAGGCCAGUGCCCAAGUCCUCUGGAGGAACAGCGGGAUUGCCCCUUUGAGCCACACUCCUGCCUUGUGUACAACCUGUGUGCUCUAUAGUCCGAGAAGAACCAACAUGGCCUGUCAUCCUGUGUCACCUUUGAGACAGUGUCUCUCAGAGCCCAGAGCUAGGAUGGCAGCCAGCGAGCCCUGGAGAACCACCCGUGCUCCUGGCACAAUGUUGGGUUACAGCAAAAGCCGUGGUGACCUUGAGGCCUGCCCUGGAUGAUCCAGAAAGCUCAGCCCCCUUCCGAGUUCUCUGCUCCUGUGAGAGCCUUCCACUUGCAGAGAAGACAGGAACCUCUGUGCAAAGCGCAGCCUGGGGACCUUUCCUCCCCUCCUCCUCCUGGAAUCCCGGAUCGCUGCCCAGGUGGGUUUGUAGAGCCAUCGUCCCUCAGACGCAACCACAGGCCACAGUACGUGGCUGAGUCAACCGCACAUUCUUUCUAGCCGGCUGUCCCUCCCUCCUCACUGUCCGAGGACCUCGGGCCUCAAGCUCAGGCUCCAGCGGGGCCAGGCGUGGGCGGCUGUUACCAGCUCCGUAGACCACCUUACCCGCGCCCUCAGAUCUGUGACAUCAUCUCCCAGAGCAGAGAAACUGCACAGGGUCAAGCCGAGGGUCCCGAGCUGGAGAUAAUCAGGGACUUGCUACUUGCUGUCAUCAGUCUGGUCCUCAGAAGGACGCAGGGAGGUGGAAGGCAGACAGACUGGGUGACACUGCACUGCUGGCUCCAGAGGAGGAGGAGGAGGACAGGGUUGCAAGCCAAGGAGUGCAGGGCCUCGGCUACUGUGAGGGAACGCCCUCCGUGCUUCCUGCAAGCCUGGCCUGCAGCCAAGGGACGCCU